GACGAACGCUGGCGGCGUGCUUAACACAUGCAAGUCGAACGGAAAGGCCCCCUUGUGGGGUACUCGAGUGGCGAACGGGUGAGUAACACGUGGGUAACCUACCCUUGACUUUGGGAUAACUUCAGGAAACUGGGGCUAAUACCGGAUAGGAGCUCCUGCUGCAUGGUGGGGGUUGGAAAGUUUCGGCGGUUGGGGAUGGACUCGCGGCUUAUCAGCUUGUUGGUGGGGUAGUGGCUCACCAAGGCUUUGACGGGUAGCCGGCCUGAGAGGGUGACCGGCCACAUUGGGACUGAGAUACGGCCCAGACUCCUACGGGAGGCAGCAGUGGGGAAUAUUGCACAAUGGGCGGAAGCCUGAUGCAGCAACGCCGCGUGCGGGAUGACGGCCUUCGGGUUGUAAACCGCUUUCGCCUGUGACGAAGCGUGAGUGACGGUAAUGGGUAAAGAAGCACCGGCUAACUACGUG
rnacentral:rRNA from 1 species